rnacentral:rRNA from 1 species
CUAAAGGAGGCCUCUGAAUAUGCUUCCGCUUGAAGAUGGACCUGCGUUGUAUUAGCUAGUAGGUGAGGUAACGGCUCACCUAGGCGACGAUACAUAGCCGACCUGAGAGGGUGAUCGGCCACACUGGGACUGAGACACGGCCCAGACUCCUACGGGAGGCAGCAGUAGGGAAUCUUCGGCAACGGGGGCAACCCUGACCGAGCAACGCCGCGUGAGUGAAGAAGGUUUUCGGAUCGUAAAGCUCUGUUGUAAGUCAAGAACGUGUGUGAGAGUGGAAAGUUC